UACGGGGGGGCAAGCGUUGUUCGGAAUUACUGGGCGUAAAGGGCUCGUAGGUGGCCAACUAAGUCAGACGUGAAAUCCCUCGGCUUAACCGGGAACUGCGUCUGAUACUGGAUGGCUGGAGUAUGGGAGAGGGAUGCGGAAUUCCAGGUGUAGCGGUGAAAUGCGUAGAUAUCUGGAGGAACACCGGUGGCGAAGGCGACAUCCUGGACCGGUAUUGACGCUGAGGCGCGAAAGCCAGGGGAGCAAACGGG
rnacentral:rRNA from 1 species